GACUGAUGUAAUUCUAGAAAAAAAUCCAGACAUCUCCACAGGAAAAAAUGACUAUACUGUAUAUUCUGAAUACCCUCAAAAUAAAAGUCGCUUUACACUCAUCCAAUGACAUGAAACUCCAUAGAUAAGACUGGGUUUUAUAUUAUCUGACCCGUUUGAAGACGACAUAUAUUGACAUCUGAUAAUGGCCAACUGGCCCUUCAAUCUAACCAUUUCUAAGCUAAAGUAUAGACUUAAUUCCUGAAUUGUUUCUUUCUCAGAAUACCAACGCAUCCAAGCGUUCUUUGAUUUUUUGGUAGCUUUUUCUCUCCAGGAAGGUUAAUCUAUGCAUCAGAAGCUAUCGGUUAAGUUGGAAUUAUAGUGAAUCUAAAGUCAAAUGACAAAAUUUAAGUUAAAAUAGCUGAUAAUCACAGCUUGGUUAUAUUACCUUCAAUUUUGUAAUUUGAAUUUAAAUUCACCAUUAUUUGGACUUUGAAUAACCUUGUAUGUGUGUUGAAGUGAUGGAACUCUAUAUCUUUUGCACAAUCUGUUAUUCAUUUGCUAUAAAC